UAGGGAAUAUUGGACAAUGGGGGAAACCCUGAUCCAGCCAUGCCGCGUGGAUGACGAAGGCCUUAGGGUUGUAAAAUCCUUUCGCUAGGGAAGAUAAUGACGGUACCUAGUAAAGAAGCCCCGGCUAAUUUCGUGCCAGCAGCCGCGGUAAUACGAAAGGGGCUAGCGUUGUUCGGAAUUACUGGGCGUAAAGCGGGUGUAGGCGGAUUGGUCAGUCAGAGGUGAGAUCCCAGGGCUUAACCCUGGAACUGCCUUUGAUACUGCCAGUCUUGAGUAUGGGAGAGGUGAGCGGAAUUCCGAGUGUAGAGGUGAAAUUCGUAGAUAUUCGGAGGAACACCAGAGGCGAAGGCGGCUCACUGGCCCAUUACUGACGCUGAGACCCGAAAGCGUGGGGAGCAAACAGGAUUAGAUACCCCGGUAGUCC
rnacentral:rRNA from 1 species